rnacentral:rRNA from 1 species
UACGGAGGAUGCGAGCGUUAUCCGGAUUUAUUGGGUUUAAAGGGUGCGUAGGCGGACGCUUAAGUCAGCGGUAAAAUUGCGGGGCUCAACCUCGUCGAGCCGUUGAAACUGGGUGCCUUGAGUGGGCGAGAAGUACGCGGAAUGCGUGGUGUAGCGGUGAAAUGCAUAGAUAUCACGCAGAACUCCGAUUGCGAAGGCAGCGUACCGGCGCCCAGCUGACGCUGAAGCACGAAGGCGUGGGUAUCGAACAGG